rfam:Sarcophilus harrisii ctg7180001466575, whole genome shotgun sequence.
GGGAAAUGGGAUGAGGGGCCCAGCCCCAGGGCCCAAAACAAAAAGGGGCA